GUGCCAGGUGCAUAAAAGCGAGCGCAGAGCUUGUCCCUGCUUGUCCUUGUGCAAGCUGAAAGCCAGCAGCUCUGGAAGUCCACAGAGAAAAGAGAAAAGAGAAGGAAGAAAAGCUCAGCCUGCCUGGGGAGGGAGAGAGUGAAGCUGUGACGCUUUCCUCAGGAAGGUUUAGCCAGCAGAAGCAACCCUUCACUGAAGGAAGGCAGAGGUGCUGCAAGUGUCUGCCUGAAGGAAGCAGUUCUUCCUGCUGAAAAGAGGAGAAAGAAAAGCCCAGAACAGCUAGAAAGCAGCACCAGGAUGGAGCUGAGAGCUCUCCUGCCCUGUAACCUGGAGGUUGCACAGAGGCAAAUAUGACCACAGGAGUUUGUCACCAUGGAGAUCCUCCUGUUUUCUUCAAGAGUGAUUCAAAUCUUACAGAUGGAGCAUAUGUGACAGCAGCAAAACAAAAUCACGAAGAAUUCACAUUAAACACUUCAGAAAGAGGAUUUGAACACCAACCAACAUCCACAGACUGUUCAUGCAGAAAAAAUUGUGCUUCUAAUUUUUUCUUUCUAAUAUUAAAUCACUGAAAAUUUUC